AACAAUUUUUUUUUCGCAAAAUUCAAUUUUAUUAUUCAACAUAAUUGCCUUCGAGGGUGAUACAGCGAUUAUAGCGAUCAUGCAACUUUUCGAUACCAUUUUUAUAGUUCUCUUUCGGUUUUUCCUCAAAAUAAGCCCCAGUGUCGGUAAUUCGGUAAUUUCGGUAAAUUCGGUAAUAUUCCACAGUUGCAAUAGCUGGAGCAGAGUCCGGAUAACUUUUGUCGAGCCAUGCUUGGUUUGCACUGUAUUUUUUCCAUCAAAAAGCAAUGCUUUAUCAAUACACCAAAUUCGGAUUUUUCCAUUUUUUUCACAAUAACAAAAGUUGCUCAGCCGAACUGUUAGUCCUCACAUUCCUGUAUCAUUGUCCCUUUUCGUUCGAUUAGUUUAUUAUUUCGUUCCGAAUUUUUCUCUAGAUUUUUCCUAGCAGUUCUAUGGCAUGCUGCAUUCUAGUGAUGCUGUAUAAGUUUAUCAACCGACGAGCAACCAAGGCUAAGACAAUUAAUCACAUAAUCACCACAGAUAAACCAGUUCUCUGCCGACUGCCGGUGGACAAACUGCAUGAAGCUAAAGUUGAAUUUGAUUUUAAUGAGUCGAGCAAUAAAAGUCCACGUCUUCGAAAAGCUGCUGGGCCAGCCCGCUGCACGUGGUGAGGAACAGGAUGUAUAGAAGUAUUACUAAGCAUGAAACGACGACCCCAAAGUCUGUGAUGGAAUUUGGUUGGAGUUUACAUUGACCAGGAACAAUCGCAGCUGAAAUUCUUACUGGAUCGUGUCAUUUUUUAUUUGCACCAGUCUAAGGAAUGCAUCCGAGUCCAUCCGAACCUGUUAUCAUCCUUGCCAUCAGUUUCUGGAAUGCGCCAAGAGCUUAACCGUUACUUCGGUACAGGUACACGUCGGAAAGAUGAAUAAUACUGGGGACACGUUUGCCGACUAGUUUGAUGCGAAUAUCUCCGGGCGUUGGGAGAGUGUGGUUUGCUCCAAGCGCUGCCUCGAGUCCGGUGGAAUAAUCGGCGCAGAUACGCAUAUAUGCCAAUGAUAAAGAGCUGCCCGAUCGGAGAAUUCGAUGAGCGUGAUAAUAUCCAUACGUUGGAGCAGUUCCGAUUCUUCUUCUACUUUUUAAGCGGCACAGAAAGGAACCGCUCGCUUGUAUCAAAAAAUUGACUGCCUAUCGUGUUUUAGGUUCAGACGAACUUUAGUUUUAGUGCAGUGACUCAGAUGUUAUUAAAAAAAACUUCGAAGCCCCGAGUUAGGAAGUGCUAAUCAUUACAAAGGAACUUGGAAAGUUUCACCUGAUUGCAGUGUGCAGCAAGUGGUUUCAACCAAAGAUCGAAUGCAUUCAUCAGUCCAUUCCAAUUACGUUUAGAUAUUUGACCGAAAUUACGUUGAAAUACUCCAUUCGAACUGGCUUAUGAUGUUCAAUGUACUGAACUCCCCUACCGAAUCAAGAGGUUCUUCAUGCACGAAUGUUACAUCCAUUUGUGUGGAAUUGAACGUAGGUCAAUAAUCUUAUAAUUUUUUUGUGUGAUCACCGAAAUGUCGAAACAAAAGUCGAGCUUAAGAUCCGCUUAGGAGCCGUAGAAGUUGACGGAAACAUAUCUCGUACGACUCUGUAUAUGCAUCACUGACUGAAUCGUCUUCAUUUGCGUUUUCUUGUCUUUCUUGUUGACCUUCUUGUCGCCUGCGGAUGUUGACUGAGGACUGACAAUGCUCUGAAAUGCAUAGCUCCACACUAUCAGCACGGAAAUGGAGAAGUUUUACCGUCUGUUGUUGUUGGUUUUGAUUGACUGUUUCUUGAUCUGUCGAACCGCCUAAACCGAAGCUGAACGAUUCUUCCACCAACGCCACAUCAUGCUUGAGGUUUGACAGGCCCUGGCAUUCGGUCAUCAAACCAUAGGUGUUCACAUCGGAUGUAUCGGAGCUUCGAUAGGAUAUGGGUGUCUGUCGUCGUUUUGAGGCUGCAGUUGAACACCAAAUGCCUCGCACUCGCACGGUUCACCACCCCGGCACAAGUGACGAAAUUAUCGGCUUCGUUCUUAAUAAGGUGAAUGCAAUCGUAAUGUUUACAGAACAAAGACUUUUGCUGUCCAAAUAUCGACUUCGGCUUCAACUUGUCCACAACCUGAUGGAACGUGAAAUUGCGUUGUUCAUAUGACAAAAGAAAAUUCAAAACCGUAACGCUGAGGUUACACAGUGGAGCCGCACCUUUCCCAAGUCAUUCAGGGUGCUACCAUCCUGCCUGAAGCAGUCUUAGUACUUUAAGAACCAUUGGUCGAACGUGCACACAUUUUAUGGUCCGAAGUGAAACUCCUUGAUGGCAGCGGAGAGUUCAAUAAUGUGUUUUAGUAUUCUCAAAUCUUUAAACUCAUCGCCAAAAAUUAAACAUAACAUAAAACAAGUUUGAGGAACAAACGACAUUUACAGUAGAACCCCAAUUAUCCGCGAUGCGUACAGGUCAUAACUUAAUAUGGUCAGAAAACUGCGAUCGUUCUGAAAUUUUAGCAAAAUGCUUUUAGAUUUUCUACUAUACAAAAAACUAAAAACAGAUUUAAAAAAAUCAAACCAAAAUUAUAACU